AUGUACAGCCCCAGGAAACUCCCGGCAGGCGGGCAGCAGCAAGGCCUGCCCUCACUCCCAGAGACAGGGAGGGUGACCUUGGCGCCCAGCUCAUCCGACCCUGUCGUUUUUCCAGGGACAGUGAGGUGCAUUGAGGGGAGCUGCUUCAUGGGAGAGAAUCGAAGGCCCAGAGCAGUCUUCCAGACACGAGGAUCGGAGCCAGCAGUCAGGACGGGCGAGGCCUCGACGGCCCUGCAUGAGCGGAAGGCAGGCCAGAGAACAAGGGGCGCCCGGGUCAGGUCGGGGCGCAGUCGGUUACUACCCAGCUCCGGGCUGCAGCUCACGUUAGCAUCCAUUGGCGGCCAUGGGACCGGGCCCCGCGUGGGGCUCAAGGGGAGCCUGCUGGAGAUCCGCCCCCCACGCCCGUGCCUCUCCCUCCGCCCCUCCCCUGCUCCUGUGUGAGCUCGCUCGCUGCUCGCUGUCUCUAAAAUAAGUACGUUAAAAAAAGAAAAUACAACCGAGCGUUUUGUGAAAGUGGGGCUGUCAUGAGACGAGUGUGAAACACGCUCACCCGGCCCCUGGAGGAGCUCCGAGGGCCGGCAAGCGAGGGAGCCCUCCCGGCCUGCUGGCACCUCCCGCUCUCGCGGCCCAGCUGGAAUGCAGGGGAGCAGAUACUCGCCGGCUGACUCGUCUCCCGCUGCGUCCUCUUGCCCUAACUGCGUCUUCACUCCCGCUGCCACCCCCUGACCCCCCAGGGACCCUAGCAGACACCCGCCGAGCAGCCGUAGGGGAGUGAGGGAGCCCCCGGCGUGCCCCUGCCUUCGCCAUCCUCUCUGCGCCCUGUGGCCGCUGCGGUGAGGCCCAGGCCGCGGUCUCGGACCCGGAUGCACGGGAUGCGGGCAGGGAGGAGGGAACGUGUGCAGGGAGAAGCAGACCGCGGACCCUGAACACGGUGCCAGGCGCUGAGAAUAUGACGAUGGGACAACCUGGGCCUGUACAGUGAGCAGACACCGACAAUCAGUCGGUGGCCCACGGCCACCCCGCAGCAGAGCUGGGCCUCAGCCCUCCACCCGCCGGACGUGGGGCCAAGGACCUGCAGCCCCGCAGGUGAGAGAGGCUGGAAAGUACAGUAGCCUGCUGCGUCCUGAUGGAAGGGGCGGCCCCGGGAGGAAGCCUUGGAGGACGUGCUCCUCCCGCCAGAUCUGCAGGAAGGUGAACACAUUAGCACCGCACCCUCCUGAUGCUCACUUCCUAGUCUGGAAGACAGGCCUCCAGCAAGUGAACAAGUCCAUUCAUGGCCAGAUGAUGCUAGAGGGAGAUUAGGGAAGGCGCCGGGACAGAGCGGCCAGGGAGGGCUCCUGUCCAGGUACGGUUGUUGGAGAAGACCUGAGGACAAUGUCUCAGGAAAGCCCUGAGCAAGGUCACCUGGGGGCAGGGGGGCGGUUAGGGUUAGGGUUAGGGG
rnacentral:lncRNA from 1 species